rnacentral:rRNA from 1 species
UUGGAGGGCAAGUCUGGUGCCAGCAGCCGCGGUAAUUCCAGCUCCAAUAGCGUAUAUUAAAGUUGUUGCAGUUAAAAAGCUCGUAGUUGAAUUUCGGGGUUAGUAGGAUGGUCAUGCCUCUGGUAUGUACUGGACUCACUGAUUCCUCCUUCCUGAUGAACCUUAAUGCCAUUAAUUUGGUGUUUUGGGGAAUUUGGACUGUUACUUUGAAGGAAUUAGAGUGUUUAAAGCAAGCUAACGCUUGAAUACAUUAGCAUGGAAUAAUGAAAUAGGACGUUCGAUCCUAUUUUGUUGGUUUCUAGGAUUGACGUAAUGAUUAAUAGGGAUAGUUGGGGGCAUUAGUAUUCAAUUGUCAGAGGUGAAAUUCUUGGAUUUAUUGAAGACUAACUACUGCGAAAGCAUUUGCCAAGGACGUUUUCAUUAAUCAAGAACGAAAGUUAGGGGAUCGAAGACGAUCAGAUACCGUCGUAGUCUUAACCAUAAACUAUGCCGACUAGGGAUCGGAUGAUGUUAAUUUUUUAAUGACUCAUUCGGCGCCUUACGGGAAACCAAAGUGUUUGGGUUC